rnacentral:lncRNA from 1 species
CUGUUGAUGGUAUUAUUGUCAACGAGGACAUUGCCACAUUUGCUGCUGGUCUUGCUAUGCUGUUUGCAAGCUACUACCGUACAACUUGAACAUCAUGUACCCUGCAGAAUGUGCUUCUACACUGGAAUUCAUUCAAAGGUGUUUUGUCCGCAUCAACCUUGACAGGUGUAGCAAAGUGGAGAUUAAGAAGAAUUCCAAGAGGUAUUCUCAAAUUUAUCCAAAAGUUCUGAGUUUGAUUAAUGCCCUUGCUCAUGUGGAUUGGAGGAGUUAAGGCCACAAAAGUGUGGUUAUUUGGUUUUGAAGGUUUUGUUUAAUUUUUUGGUUGUGAUUAUUAUUUCAGUUAUGAAAUUUAAAGGAGUAUUUUGAAAGCUGUUCUUAGGAAUUUUUGUGUCAUGGAAGUUACUCUUUUUAAUUUCAUGUGUUGAUGAGAUUAAUUUCUUUUCAAAAUCUUCAUAAGGAAGUACUAUAAGUUUCUCAGCAGUUGGUCAUGGAGGCUUAGCGUUUCAAAACGUCAUAUUUUUGCACAUUCACUGCAGUUCUCUUUACAUUUAGGUGAUAUGUUUCACCACAUGUAAUAUGGAGCAUUUUGUACUUUUAUAUAAUCUGUGAUGUUAACAUUUCAUACUCAGGAAAGAUAUGAUCAGUUUCCGCGUAAGUGGAUUUUUAAUAGUUGCCGUCAUGGGAGAAAUCUCAGCAAAAUGGCUUUUGUACCUUAAAAAUAAAAUAUUACUUAUCA